rnacentral:rRNA from 1 species
AUUGAACGCUGGCGGCAUGCCUUACACAUGCAAGUCGAACGGCAGCGGGGGAGAAGCUUGCUUUUCCUGCCGGCGAGUGGCGAACGGGUGAGUAAUACAUCGGAACGUGCCCUGUAGUGGGGGAUAACUAGUCGAAAGAUUAGCUAAUACCGCAUACGACCUGAGGGUGAAAGUGGGGGACCGCAAGGCCUCAUGCUAUAGGAGCGGCCGAUGUCUGAUUAGCUAGUUGGUGGGGUAAAGGCCUAACAAGGCGACGAUCAGUAGCUGGUCUGAGAGGACGAACAGGCACGCUGGGACUGAGACACGGCCCAGACUCCUACGGGAGGCAGCAGUGGGGAAUUUUGGACAAUGGGCGAAAGCCUGAUCCAGCAAUGCCGCGUGUGUGAAGAAGGCCUUCGGGUUGUAAAGCACUUUUGUCCGGAAAGAAAUGGCUCUGGUUAAUACCUGGGGUCGAUGACGGUACCGGAAGAAUAAGGACCGGCUAACUACGUGCCAGCAGCCGCGGUAA